rnacentral:antisense_RNA from 1 species
CUUGACCGUACCCACCAGCAACGGCCGGUCCUCCGGCCGCUCGCGACCGUAGGUGGCCAGCAGCGCCUGCGCCUC